rnacentral:rRNA from 1 species
CCUACGGGAGGCAGCAGUGGGGAAUAUUGCACAAUGGGCGCAAGCCUGAUGCAGCCAUGCCGCGUGUGUGAAGAAGGCCUUCGGGUUGUAAAGCACUUUCAGCGGGGAGGAAGGCGAUAAGGUUAAUAACCUUGUCGAUUGAUGUUACCCGCAGAAGAAGCACCGGCUAACUCCGUGCCAGCGGCCGCGGUAAUACGGAGGGUGCAAGCGUUAAUCGGAAUUACUGGGCGUAACGCGCACGCAGGCGGUCUGUCAAGUCGGAUGUGAAAUCCCCGGGCUCAACCUGGGAACUGCAUUCGAAACUGGCAGGCUAGAGUCUUGUAGAGGGGGGUAGAAUUCCAGGUGUAGCGGUGAAAUGCGUAGAGAUCUGGAGGAAUACCGGUGGCGAAGGCGGCCCCCUGGACAAAGACUGACGCUCAGGUGCGAAAGCGUGGGGAGCAAACAGGAUUAGAUACCCGCGUAGUC